rnacentral:rRNA from 1 species
CUAGCCGUAAACGAUGGGCACUAGGUGUGGGGGGUCGAUCAACUCCCUCCGUGCCGCAGCUAACGCAUUAAGUGCCCCGCCUGGGGAGUACGACCGCAAGGUUAAAACUCAAAGGAAUUGACGGGGGCCCGGCACAAGCAGCGGAGCAUGUGGCUUAAUUCGACGCAACGCGAAGAACCUUACCAAGGCUUGACAUGCAGGGAAAAGCGGCGGAAACGUCGUGUCCGCAAGGGCCCUGCACAGGUGGUGCAUGGCCGUCGUCAGCUCGUGUCGUGAGAUGUUGGGUUAAGUCCCGCAACGAGCGCAACCCCUGUCCUAUGUUGCCAGCAUUAAGUUGGGAACUCUAAGGGGACCGCCGGUGACAAACCG